GACGAACGCUGGCGGCGGGCGGAACACAUGCAAGUCGAACGGAAAGGCCCUGCUUUUGUGGGGUGCUCGAGUGGCGAACGGGUGAGUAACACGUGAGUAACCUGCCCUUGACUUUGGGAUAACUUCAGGAAACUGGGGCUAAUACCGGAUAGGAGCUCCUGCUGCAUGGUGGGGGUUGGAAAGUUUCGGCGGUUGGGGAUGGACUCGCGGCUUAUCAGCUUGUUGGUGGGGUAGUGGCUUACCAAGGCUUUGACGGGUAGCCGGCCUGAGAGGGUGACCGGCCACAUUGGGACUGAGAUACGGCCCAGACUCCUACGGGAGGCAGCAGUGGGGAAUAUUGCACAAUGGGCGGAAGCCUGAUGCAGCAACGCCGCGUGCGGGAUGACGGCCUUCGGGUUGUAAACCGCUUUCGCCUGUGACGAAGCGUGAGUGACGGUAAUGGGUAAAGAAGCACCGGCUAACUACGUG
rnacentral:rRNA from 1 species